CAAACUUGAAGCUAAAUUUAAUGAACUUGUUACUAUGUGUCAUGUCAGGUUGAAGAAGCAAUCGGGCUUGAAGAUGCCUUGCAGUUAAUCAAUGCGUUUGGUAUUAGCCAUGGCAGCGUCAGAGAGCACACAGUGUGGGGCAUGCAGAGGGGGUGGAAGGGAGACCUCUGCCAACACCUCAAGCACACGGAUCAAAGACACACAGCUGGCACAAAGGCAGAGCUGCAGCAACUCAUUUCCCAUUGAUUUGUCUCAUUCAACAUGGACCUGAGUCCAUUUAAAAUCUUCUAGUACAACAUGAGGGUCAACACAUAUCUAAUCCCCCAAAUGACACAAGCUGUGGUGCAGCAGGGUGCAGCCUGACAGGAAGGACUUGGCCCGGCUUUGGUCUCUAUUUACUAUUUAUCACAGCAACAUUUCUCAAAGAUAAGUGAUAUCCUCCUCAGAUCAGGAUCCGGUGUCCCCCGCUCUGCCCACCCGGAGGGAAAGGGAUCCCCAGUGCAUCCCCAGGAGGUGCAAGCUUUAUUUUUAGCAGCCUAAUCCCUUUAUAACUGGGGCAGAAAACAUCACUCUUUCCAUUAAUUGUCCGAAGUAAUCAUUAUAUCAUUCACCAGAAAGGAAGUGCUUGGUUUUGCCAAUUUUUGGAAUCAUUAAUUUCUUUUUGGACUCUUCUGUUUGUGAGGAAGCUGAGAUUUAUGGCAGCAGGAAACAGGUUGCAUUGAUUGAGAUAACACUGACUUGAUUUAAACAUCUUCAAGAGAACCAGUCUUUCAAUGCCGUUUCAGUUCACAACCUUUUGAACUGCCAGCUUCCGUGUAUGACUUCUUAAUGAUCCCACAACAGGCCAAACUUUGUUGAGUAAUACAUGAUCCAUCGUAACAAACUGUUCUUGCUCAGUAUAAAGAGACAUGCUGGCGUGAGAACUGAGCUGUUGUAAUCUUUGGCUUAGCAUUUGUUUUCUUCAGAACCUUGUCUAUCAGCAUCCCAAUGUGUGCCUGGCUCAAUAUUUAUUUCACUACCCCAAUAAAAACAGAAGACAAUCACUGUAA